rnacentral:lncRNA from 1 species
UUUUUUCUUUUCUUUUUUUCUUUUUUUUUCAAUUUUUUUUAUUGCGUUUCUUUUGAAAAUAAACAUGCUAUGAUGCAGAUGAUGCAGACAAGACUGGCAGGCUAUGCAUCUCGAAACACAGGAUCGAAGCUUCGGCUCGAACUCGGAACCACAAUUCAUCUGAAACCCAAAGUCAUCUGAUAAACUGUCAUCUGAACCCAUAUCUGGAGAAC